rnacentral:rRNA from 1 species
CAGUCGCCGCGGUAAUACGAAGGGGGCUAGCGUUGCUCGGAAUGACUGGGCGUAAAGGGCGCGUAGGCGGAUUGCGCAGUCAGAUGUGAAAUUCCUGGGCUUAACCUGGGGGCUGCAUUUGAGACGCGUAGUCUAGAGUGUGAAAGAGGGUCGUGGAAUUCCCAGUGUAGAGGUGAAAUUCGUAGAUAUUCGGAAGAACACCAGUGGCGAAGGCGGCUCACUGGCUCAUACUGGACGCUGGGGUGCGAAAGCGUGGGGAGCAAACAGGAUUAGAUACCCCCGUAGUCCCUGUCUCUUAUAC